rnacentral:rRNA from 1 species
GGCGCGCGGCUAUCAUGCAGUCGAGCGAUCUUGAGGUGCUUGCACCUCUUGGUUAGCGGCGGACGGGUGAGUAACACGUGGGCAACCUGCCUGUAAGACUGGGAUAACUUCGGGAAACCGGAGCUAAUACCGGAUAAUCCUUUUCUUCUCAUGAGGAAAAGCUGAAAGUCGGUUUACGCUGACACUUACAGAUGGGCCCGCGGCGCAUUAGCUAGUCGGCGGGGUAACGGCCACCGAGGCGACGAUGGCUAGGGGUUCUGAGAGGAUGGUCCCCCACACUGGCACUGAGACACGGGCCAGACUCCUACGGGAGGCAGCAGUAGGGAAUAUUGGGCAAUGGGCGAGAGCCUGACCCAGCCAUGCCGCGUGCAGGACGAAGGCCUUCUGGGUUGUAAACUGCUUUUCUCUGGGAAGAAAAGGCCCCCGCGGGGGAGACUGCCGGUACCAGAGGAAUAAGCACCGGCUAACUCCGUGCCAGCAGCCGCGGUAAUACGGAGGGUGCGAGCGUUGUCCGGAUUUAUUGGGUUUAAAGGGUGCGUAGGCGGCCCGUUAAGUCAGCGGUGAAAUCCCCCGGCUCAACCGGGGACCGGCCGUUGAUACUGGCGGGCUUGAGUACAGACGAGGCAGGCGGAAUUGAUGGUGUAGCGGUGAAAUGCAUAGAUACCAUCAGGAACCCCGAUUGCGAAGGCAGCCUGCUAGGCUGAAACUGACGCUGAGGCACGAAAGCGUGGGGAGCGAACAGGAUUAGAUACCCUGGUAGUCCACGCCGUANACGAUGAUGACUCGAUGUCGGCGAUACACGGCCGGCGUCUUAGCGGAAGCGUUAAGUCAUCCACCUGGGGAGUAC